rnacentral:rRNA from 1 species
GUGUCAGCAGCCGCGGUAAUACGGAGGGAGCUAGCGUUGUUCGGAAUUACUGGGCGUAAAGCGCACGUAGGCGGCGAUUCAAGUCAGAGGUGAAAGCCCGGGGCUCAACCCCGGAACUGCCUUUGAAACUAGAUUGCUAGAAUCCUGGAGAGGUUAGUGGAAUUCCGAGUGUAGAGGUGAAAUUCGUAGAUAUUCGGAAGAACACCAGUGGCGAAGGCGACUAACUGGACAGGUAUUGACGCUGAGGUGCGAAAGCGUGGGGAGCAAACAGGAUUAGAAACCCCGGUAGUCC